rnacentral:lncRNA from 1 species
CAAGUUGCUACAUAUCCUCUCUAACCUUUUCCUGCUUUAAGCUUACUGAUGAGUGCGGAAGGCUGACAGGGAAAGGAAGGACUGGCCCCAUCUUCCCCUUUCCUUUUCUGUCACUAUUUUUGGCUCUGUGAAUGACUGAUACAGGGAAGCAACCCGAGUGAGAAAGGCUAUGAUCGGGAAGAAAUGGAAACCCUGAACAGACGAGUAAUGAGUUCCAAAAUUGAAUCAGUAAUAAAACACCCACCAAGCAGAAAAAUCCCUGGACCAGACAGUUUCACAGCCAAAUUCUACCAGACAUAUAGAAUAACUUGUACUAAUCCUGCUGAAACUAUUCCAAAAAAUCAAGGCCAAGAAAGGGACUCCUCCCUAACUCAUUCUAUGAGGCCAGCCUCAUUCUGAUACCAAAACCUGGCAGAGACACACAUGAAAAAAGAAAACUUCAAGCCAAUGUCCCUGACGAACAUAGAUGCAAAAAUUCUCAACAAAAUACUUGCAAACCAAAUCCAGCAGCAUAUCAAAAAUCUAAUCCACCUUCAUCAAGUAGACUUUAUCCCUGAGAUGCAAGGUUGGUUCAACAUACACAACUCAAUAAAUGUAAUUUAUCACAUAAACAGAACUAAAAAGAAGAGCCAUAUGAUCAUCUCAAGAGAUGCAGAAAAGGCUUUUGGUAAAAUUCAACAUCCCUUCAUGUAAAAAACCCUUAACAAACUAGGCAUCAAAGGAACAUACCUCAAUAAGAGCCAAAUAUGAUAAACCCACAGCCAACAUCGUAUUAAAUGGACAAGAGCUGGAAGUAUUCUCCUUG